rnacentral:tRNA from 1 species
GUUAACGUAGCUUAAGUAAAAGCCUGGCACUGAAGAUGCCAAGAUGAGGCCUCACAACCCCCGAUAACA